rnacentral:rRNA from 1 species
CCUACGGGCGGCAGCAGUGGGGAAUAUUGGACAAUGGGCGAAAGCCUGAUCCAGCCAUGCCGCGUGUGUGAAGAAGGCCUUCGGGUUGUAAAGCACUUUCAGUGGGGAAGAAAGCCUUGGGGCUAAUACCCUCGAGGAAGGACAUCACCCACAGAAGAAGCACCGGCUAACUCCAGUGCCAGCAGCCGCGGUAAUACGGAGGGUGCGAGCGUUAAUCGGAAUUACUGGGCGUAAAGCGCGCGUAGGCGGUCUGAUAAGCCGGUUGUGAAAGCCCCGGGCUCAACCUGGGAACGGCAUCCGGAACUGUCAGGCUAGAGUGCAGGAGAGGAAGGUAGAAUUCCCGGUGUAGCGGUGAAAUGCGUAGAGAUCGGGAGGAAUACCAGUGGCGAAGGCGGCCUUCUGGACUGACACUGACGCUGAGGUGCGAAAGCGUGGGUAGCAAACAGGAUUAGAUACCCGGGUAGUC